rnacentral:rRNA from 1 species
UACAGAGGGUGCGAGCGUUGUCCGGAAUCACUGGGCGUAAAGGGCGCGUAGGCGGCCUGAUAAGUAGGGGGUGAAAUCUUGCGGCUCAACCGCAAGGCUGCCUUCUAAACUGUCAGGCUGGAGCACGGUAGAGGCAGAUGGAAUUCCCGGUGUAGCGGUGGAAUGCGUAGAGAUCGGGAGGAAGGCCGGUGGCGAAGGCGGCGCUCUGGAACAUUUCUGACGCUGAGGCUCGGAAAGCGUGGGGAGCAAACAGG